rnacentral:rRNA from 1 species
UCNGGAUUUAUUGGGCGUAAAGGGAGCGCAGGCGGUUUAGUAAGUCUGAAGUUAAAGNCAUUGGCUCAACCAAUGUAUGCUUUGGAAACUGUUAGACUNGAGUGCAGAAGGGGAGAGUGGAAUUCCAUGUGUAGCGGUGAAAUGCGUAGAUAUAUGGAGGAACACCGGUGGCGAAAGCGGCUCUCUGGUCUGUCACUGACGCUGAGGCUCGAAAGCGUGGGUAGCGAACAGGAUUAGAUACCCUGGUAGUCCACGCCGUAAACGCUGAGUGCUAGGUGUUAGGUCCUUUCCGGGACUUAGUGCCGACGCUAACGCAUUAAGCACUCCGCCUGGGGAGUACGACCGCAAGGUUGAAACUCAAAGGAAUUGACGGGGGCCCGCACAAGCGGUGGAGCAUGUGGUUUAAUUCGAAGCAACGCGAAGAACCUUACCAGGUCUUGACAUCCCGAUGCCCGCUCUAGAGAUAGAGUUUUUCUUCGGAACAUCGGAGACAGGUGGUGCAUGGUUGUCGUCAGCUCGUGUCGUGAGAUGUUGGGUUAAGUCCCGCAACGAGCGCAACCCUUAUUGUUAGUUGCCAUCAUUAAGUUGGGCACUCUAGCGAGACUGCCGGUAAUAAACCGGAGGAAGGUGGGGAUGACGUCAAAUCAUCAUGCCCCUUAUGACCUGGGCUACACACGUGCUACAAUGGUUGGUACAACGAGUCGCAAGCCGGUGACGGCAAGCUAAUCUCUGAAAGCCAAUCUCAGUUCGGAUUGUAGGCUGCAACUCGCCUACAUGAAGUCGGAAUCGCUAGUAAUCGCGGAUCAGCACGCCGCGGUGAAUACGUUCCCGGGCCUUGUACACACCGCCCGU